rnacentral:rRNA from 1 species
AGAGUUUGAUUCUGGCUCAGGAUGAACGCUGGCGGCGUGCCUAACACAUGCAAGUCGAGCGAUCUCUUCGGAGAGAGCGGCGGACGGGUGAGUAACGCGUGGGUAACCUGCCCUGUACACACGGAUAACAUACCGAAAGGUAUGCUAAUACGGGAUAAUAUAUAAGAGUCGCAUGACUUUUAUAUCAAAGAUUUUUCGGUACAGGAUGGACCCGCGUCUGAUUAGCUUGUUGGCGGGGUAACGGCCCACCAAGGCGACGAUCAGUAGCCGACCUGAGAGGGUGAUCGGCCACAUUGGAACUGAGACGCGGUCCAAACUCCUACGGGAGGCAGCAGUGGGGAAUAUUGCACAAUGGGCGCAAGCCUGAUGCAGCAACGCCGCGUGAGCGAUGAAGGCCUUCGGGUCGUAAAGCUCUGUCCUCAAGGAAGAUAAUGACGGUACUUGAGGAGGAAGCCCCGGCUAACUACGUGCCAGCAGCCGCGGUAAUACGUAUGUCGCAAGCGUUAUCCGGAUUUAUUGGGCGUAAAGCGCGUCUAGGCGGAAAAAUAAGUCUGAUAUGAAAAUGCGGGGCUCAACUCCGUAUUGCGUUGAGAAACUGUUUUUCUAGAGUACUGGAGAGGUGGGCGGAACUACAAGUGUAGAGGUGAAAUUCGUAGAUAUUUGUAGGAAUGCCGAUGGAGAAGUCAGCUCACUGGACAGAUGCUGACGCUGAAGCGCGAAAGCGUGGGGAGCAAACAGGAUUAGAUACCCUGGUAGUCCACGCCGUAAACGAUGAUCACUAGGUGUUGGGGGUCGAAACCUCAGCGCCCAAGCUUAACGCGAUAAGUGAUCCGCCUGGGGAGUAUGCACGCAAGUGUAAAACUCAAAGGAAUUGACGGGGACCCGCACAAGCGGUGGAGCAUGUGGUUUAAUUCGACGCAACGCGAGAAACCUUACCAGCGUUUGACAUCCUAAGAAGUUUCUAGAGAUAGAUUCGUGCCGGCUUGCCGGAACUUAGUGACAGGUGGUGCAUGGCUGUCGUCAGCUCGUGUCGUGAGAUGUUGGGUUAAGUCCCGCAACGAGCGCAACCCCUAUUGUAUGUUGCUACCAUUAAGUUGAGCACUCAUACGAUACUGCCUGCGAUGAGCAGGAGGAAGGUGGGGAUGACGUCAAGUCAUCAUGCCCCUUAUACGCUGGGCUACACACGUGCUACAAUGGGCAGUACAGAGAGUUGCCAACCCGUGAGGGUGAGCUAAUCUCUUAAAGCCAUUCUCAGUUCGGAUUGUAGGCUGAAACUCGCCUACAUGAAGCUGGAGUUACUAGUAAUCGCAGAUCAGAAUGCUGCGGUGAAUGCGUUCCCUGGGUCUUGCACUCACCGCCCGUCA